rfam:Candidatus Altiarchaeales archaeon WOR_SM1_SCG NODE_46_length_17223_cov_6.12167_ID_97, whole genome shotgun sequence.
NNCAACGGUCACAGAGGAUUGGUACCACCUGCACUCGUUCCGAACGCAGAAGUUAAGCAAUCCAUCGAUCCUGGUUGUACUGCAUAAUAUGUGGGAACCCAGGGACGCUGUUGGCA